rnacentral:pre_miRNA from 1 species
UUGGUUUGUUUAAAUCAAACUUGUUCAAUUUUAAUCAAGUUUAUAGAAAAAUAUAACAAUAUCUAUACUACCAAAUAUAUGCAUUAUUAAAAUAUAUUUUAUGGUGGAUUCAAUGAAACAAAUUUGGUAUAUAGAUGUUAUUAUAUUUUUCUAUAAACAUGGUCAAAGUUGAAUAAGUUUGACUUAAGACAAACCAAA